UGGGGAAUUUUGCACAAUGGGGGAAACCCUGAUGCAGCGACGCCGCGUGAUUUAGAAGGCCUUCGGGUUGUAAAAAUCUUUUCUAUGGGAAGAAAAUGACAGUACCAUAGGAAUAAGGACCGGCUAAUUACGUGCCAGCAGCCGCGGUAAUACGUAAGGUCCGAGCGUUGUCCGGAAUCAUUGGGCGUAAAGGGUACGUAGGCGGGUAAGCAAGUUAGAAGUGAAAUCGUAUAGCUCAACUAUAGUAAGCUUUUAAAACUGCUCAUCUUGAGGUAUGGAAGGGAAAGUGGAAUUCCUAGUGUAGCGGUGAAAUGCGCAGAUAUUAGGAGGAGUACCGGUGGCGAAGGCGACUUUCUGGCCAUAACCUGACGCUGAGGUACGAAAGCGUGGGUAGCAAACAGG
rnacentral:rRNA from 1 species